GCAGCAGCUGCAGCAGGAGGAGCAGGAGGAGGAGAUCCACGCUGCAGAGAGGAUAAAAACACGAAACCUCAUCAUCAUCAUCACAGGAUACAAACCUCUUUCAUCCGCGCAGCCACAGCGCGUGGGAGGCGCGAGAUCGGCUGCAUGGUGAAUGCUGUGUGUGUGUGUGUGUGAGAGAGAGAGGGGGAUUUAUCCAUCUGAUCCACGCGCUCACUCACCUGCACGUGAGCUCAGAUGAUGAUGAUGCUACUGCUGCCUGCACGCGCCACUUAUACCACAGGAACCUGUGUGUGUGUGUGUGUCUGUGGAGGCGCAGGAUCCAUGCAGGACGAUGGAAAGAAACUUUUGGAGACUUUUUGGUUGUGGGGACAAAAACCCGGAGCAGAGCGGAGCGGAGUGUGUUCCUGUCUUUGGUUAUCUAGCUGUAUGAGUGUUAGCCGUCCUUCAUAAAGCUAGAUAACCGAAAGUAGGAAUGACCUCCAUGACCUUCGACCUCCCGCUGUGACGACAAGACGAGAAGGAGAAGGAGGAGAAAGACAAGCAAGGACAUUUCCUCAGACGAUCAGCUGACAGUGAUGUCACGUCACUGUGGACGACCUUCAACGCUCGCAUCAUUUAACUCAAGCUGAACAUCAUCAUCAUCGUCAUCAUGAUCAGACGACUGCAGAAGACUCUUCCUCCUUGACAACUGUGAACUUCUGACUUGAAGAACUUUUUUAUUUUACACCACUGUCCAUGCACUGAAUCAGUCCAGUACGGUGGCCCAGAAGUGCUUUUUACAAAUCCCCAAAAUCCCCAUUUUUUUCCCCCCACUUGGUCAAAUGAAGAAUAAACUUAAAAUCAUUAUGAAGCUGCUGUGUGACCAUUUUUUUUCUAUUAUUUAUUUAUUUUAUUUUUUCCACUUAAAACUUGACAGAAACACAGUAAAGAGCAGUGUAAGGCUUUUGUUUUCUUUGAAGGAAGUGACUUUGACGUGUAUCUCAGAUCCACUGUCUGAUGAGCAAUAACACAUUUAUCUCUGGAAAUUAGUAAAAAAAACACACAUUUUUUUGAUGAAGUGGCCCUUUAAAUAUUACUGUGUCUUACUGUUAAAAAAAACUAUUAAAGAAGAAUUGAGCGCUCGUUUUAUCACUUCCAGGUCACUUCCAGGGUCACUUCCAGGUCAUUUGGUACUUGGGCUUUUGUAAAAGUGUUUCAUAUUUUUUGUAAUAGUGGGUUGCACUUCCAGGCCACUGUAGUCUGGUAGUCUCUGAUCCUCUGCGUCAUAAGGUACUGCGGUGUUUGUCUGUCUGUCUGUCACCAGCAGAUUCUCAGCAGACACGUCAGUAGCAUCAUCAUCAAGUCUCAUCAAGUCUCAUCAGAAGUUAACUGCCUGAUUUGCAUUGCUGAACAUCAGGGUAUUCACGUGUUUUUCGCUGACUGAACAACACGACAACGGCGUAUUCAUCAAGAAACGAAAUGUUUCAUGUAUGUUGACAAUUUGAAAAAUAAAGGUUUUUUUUA